UCACCGACGCCAAUGACAAUGCUCCAGUG
rnacentral:piRNA from 1 species